rnacentral:tRNA from 1 species
GGCAGUGUGGCGCAGUGGUUAGAGUGUCGGACUAGGACCUGGGAGAGCAGGGUUCAAAUCCCCCACGUGGCCA